rnacentral:piRNA from 1 species
GUGGUUAUCUGUUGAUAGGUCCUGU